rnacentral:rRNA from 1 species
AGAUUGAACGCUGGCGGCAUGCUUUACACAUGCAAGUCGAACGGUAACAGGCCGCAAGGUGCUGACGAGUGGCGAACGGGUGAGUAAUGUAUCGGAACGUGCCCAGUCGUGGGGGAUAACGCAGCGAAAGCUGCGCUAAUACCGCAUACGAUCUAUGGAUGAAAGCGGGGGACCGUAAGGCCUCGCGCGAUUGGAGCGGCCGAUAUCAGAUUAGGUAGUUGGUGGGGUAAAGGCUCGACCAAGCCAACGAUCUGUAGCUGGUCUGAGAGGACGACCAGCCACACUGGGACUGAGACACGGCCCAGACUCCUACGGGAGGCAGCAGUGGGGAAUUUUGGACAAUGGGCGCAAGCCUGAUCCAGCAAUGCCGCGUGCAGGAAGAAGGCCUUGGUUGUAACUGCUUUGUACGAACGAACGGUCCGUGUUAAUACUGGGCUAAGUGACGUACGUAAGAAUAAGCACCGGACUAACUACGUCGACAG